rnacentral:rRNA from 1 species
UACGGGGGGGCAAGCGUUGUUCGGAAUUACUGGGCGUAAAGGGUGCGUAGGCGGGUCUUUAAGUCAGGGUGAAAUCCUGGAGCUCAACUCCAGAACUGCCUUUGAUACUGGCGAUCUCGAGUCCGGGAGAGGUGAGUGGAACUGCGAGUGUAGAGGUGAAAUUCGUAGAUAUUCGCAAGAACACCAGUGGCGAAGGCGGCUCACUGGCCCGGUACUGACGCUGAGGUGCGAAAGCGUGGGGAGCA